AAAUAUUCAGUUCAUGUAUACAUAUAAUGUGAUUAAAAAUGUAUUUUAUUUGGUAAUUUCAUGCACGUAUAUGUUAACUUUAUUUUUGUUACAAAACCCAUGUAAAUUGGAGAGGAACAUAUUUUGUUUCCGGUUUGGUCACAUUGUUGAGGGGACAAUUAAUAUGUGACGGAAUAAGGGAAGCAGCAUGAGACAGCAAACAUUUGAUGGAAGAGGUUAAUGGAGUCUCGCCUGGAAAAGAAACUUUAUUCCCUCUGAGUUUGUGAGGCCAAUGAGGUAUGAUUCUUUGUCAUAAUGCAUGUGAAAUCUAUGUGUUUUCUUUUAUUUGAUGUCAGACUAAUUGUAAGUUCUGUUUUUUUUAUUCAAUAGUUCUGACGGCAUUUGUUCGGCAUUUGUUUGGCAUUUUUGGCAUCAUUUGGGAGGAGAAGAAGGCGUGGCUGAAAUAAAUGUCUGUUUGAGAAAAACGAACAACUUGAGCCUUGAUUAAGACCUCGGUGGGAGUAACAUCAAAUAUUCCACUUUGAAAAAUAUUUUUGGUGGAGGAUUUUGCAUUUGCUGUGGGUUUGCGAUUAAAACCAUAGAUUUGUUUGACAAAAAAGGGCGGAAAACAAACAAACAAAAAAACAACAUAAAAAAACUAAAACAUUUUGAAAUGAGGGGAUGGAUGGAAUAGAAUAGAUUAGAAUAGACUUUAUUUUAAUUAUAUUUGGAUAUAACAAGAUUAAAGACUCCAACUUAAGGUGCGGUUGUGGGAACAAACAUGGGGUAAAAUAAAUAACACAAGAGGUCAUAAAGGAAAAACUAACAAUUGAAAUAGACGGACUACUAUCCAAUAAAAAUAACAAGCAAUCCUGUACAAUAUAUAAAACACUAUAGAAAUACAAAGUACUGUACGAUAUACAGAACAAGACAAGAGUACCGAAGUAAUAAAUAACAAUCAGUGUUGGACGUAUUGCACAGAAGGGUAUUAGGGCAGGAUAUUGUAUAGGGGGUAAUUAUUAUUAUUAUAAGUUAGAGUUCAACAUGGUGACAGUUCUGGGAAAAAAUCUGUCUCUGAGCCUGUUUGUUCUGGCUGUGAUGCACCUGGAGCGCCUGCCCGAUGGUAGCAGGUAGAAGCCAGGGUGUGUGCUGUCUUUGGUGAUGUUUUUUGCUUUUUUCAGGCAACGGGAGUUAUGUAAAUCCUUCAGGGAGGGCAGGGGGCAGCCAAUGAUUUUUGUGCCAACUUUAUUGCCCUCUGUAUCGCCUGUUUGUCUGCUUCAGUGCAGCUGGCGUACCACACUGUUAUGCAGUACGUCAGCAGGCUCUCGACAGCCGAGCGAUAGAAGGUCACCAUCAGCUGUCUCUCCAGUCUGUUCGUUGAUGUAGACUCCAGAGAUUUAAGCGUUAAACAUAAACUGUAUGUGUCACAGCCCGGUCUCGAACCCAUAAUCCAGCCACAGCAAGAGCCUACACUCUCUGUCUGGCAGCAUUCCAGGACAUGCCCCCGCACCCUCUGAGCACUUCCCGCCCACGCUUCGCCGUAGCUGUAGACUGACAGCAAUCAACCCACCUGACAGCAUAAAGGCCAGUCACUCCUUUGGACCUGCGCCGGAACGUCGUUAACUCUCGUAUUGCCUCCCUCGAUCCUCGAUCACUCGCCUGGACUCGGACCUUGUUUGCUUGCCGCCUGCUCUCGACCUCCUGCCUGUCACCAGAUCUUCCUUGUGCCUACUCCUUCUUGACCAGACGCAGGUUUUCAUUCAACACGCAUGUACAACAUCCUCUUGUUACAUUCACAUGGUUAACUUCACUCUUAAUCCUCCAACCAACACUUAGAGUAGCAUACACAUCCCACACAAUCAUCAAAGGUUACAAUAAACCUGGUAACCUCA